AGAUUGAACGCUGGCGGCAGGCCUAACACAUGCAAGUCGAGCGGUAGAGAGGUGCUUGCACCUCUUGAGAGCGGCGGACGGGUGAGUAAUGCCUAGGAAUCUGCCUAGUGGUGGGGGAUAACGUUCGGAAACGGACGCUAAUACCGCAUACGUCCUACGGGAGAAAGCGGGGGACCUUCGGGCCUCGCGCCAUUAGAUGAGCCUAGGUCGGAUUAGCUAGUUGGUGAGGUAAUGGCUCACCAAGGCGACGAUCCGUAACUGGUCUGAGAGGAUGAUCAGUCACACUGGAACUGAGACACGGUCCAGACUCCUACGGGAGCAGCAGUGGGGAAUAGUUGGACAAGUGGGGACGAAAGCCUG
rnacentral:rRNA from 1 species